rnacentral:rRNA from 1 species
GACGAACGCUGGCGGCGUGCUUAACACAUGCAAGUCGAACGGAAAGGCCCUGCUUUUGUGGGGUGCUCGAGUGGCGAACGGGUGAGUAACACGUGAGUAACCUGCCCUUGACUUUGGGAUAACUUCAGGAAACUGGGGCUAAUACCGGAUAGGAGCUCCUGCUGCAUGGUGGGGGUUGGAAAGUUUCGGCGGUUGGGGAUGGUCUCGCGGCUUAUCAGCUUGUUGGUGGGGUAGUGGCUUACCAAGGCUUUGACGGGUAGCCCGCCUGAGAGGGGGACCGGCGACAUUGGGACUGAGAGACGGCCCAGAAGCGUACGGGAGGCAGUAGUGGGGAAUAUUGCAGAAUGGGGGGAAGCCUGAUGCAGCAACGCCGCGUGCGGGAUGACGGGCUUCGGGUUGUAAACCGCUUUCGACUGUGACGAAGCGUGAGUGACGGUAAUGGGUAAAGAAGCACCGGCUAACUACGUG